CGGACGGGUGAGUAACGCGUGGACAACCUACCCGCACUGGGGGACAACAGCCGGAAACGGCUGCUAAUACCGCAUAUGCGCACAGCCCCACAUGGGGCGGUGCGGAAAGCCUUGUGCGGUGCGGGAUGGGUCCGCGUCUGAUUAGCUGGUUGGCGGGGUAACGGCCCACCAAGGCGACGAUCAGUAGCCGGCCUGAGAGGGUGGACGGCCACAUUGGGACUGAGACACGGCCCAGACUCCUACGGGAGGCAGCAG
rnacentral:rRNA from 1 species